rnacentral:tRNA from 1 species
UGGGGCAUAGCCAAGUGGUAAGGCAACGGACUUUGACUCCGUCAUUCGUUGGUUCGAAUCCAGCUGCCCCAGCCA